rnacentral:misc_RNA from 1 species
AAAGUCGUAACAAGGUCUCCGUAGGUGAACCUGCGGAGGGAUCAUUAACGAAUGGCCCUCGUGGCCUUAGUCCCUCAAACCCGUGGAAGAGAGACGUGCUUCGACGCCCCCGCUUCGGGGACGUCGCAUUUAUGCCGUACGUGUCGUUUGUGUCUGAUUUUACAAUUGAGAUUUAAAACUUUCAACAAAGGAUCUCUUGGCUCUC